GAUGAACGCUGGCGGCGUGCCUAAUACAUGCGAGUCGAGCGAACGGACGAGAAGCUUGCUUCUCUGAUGUUAGCGGCGGACGGGUGAGUAACACGUGGAUAACCUACCUAUAAGACUGGGAUAACUUCGGGAAACCGUAGCUAAUACCGGAUAAUAUUUUGUACCGCAUGGUUCAAAAGUGAAAGACGGUCUUGCUGUCACUUAUAGAUGGAUCCGCGCUGCAUUAGCUAGUUGGUAAGGUAACGGCUUACCAAGGCAACGAUGCAUAGCCGACCUGAGAGGGUGAUCGGCCACACUGGAACUGAGACACGGUCCAGACUCCUACGGGAGGCAGCAGUAGGGAAUCUUCCGCAAUGGGCGAAAGCCUGACGGAGCAACGCCGCGUGAGUGAUGAAGGUCUUCGGAUCGUAAAACUCUGUUAUUAGGGAAGAACAUAUGUGUAAGUAACUGUGCACAUCUUGACGGUACCUAAUCAGAAAGCCACGGCUAACUACGU
rnacentral:rRNA from 1 species